rnacentral:ncRNA from 1 species
CACUACCUGUCACAGUAUAGAGGAUGGCCAUGCUUGAAGUCAUUACCAUUAGCCAUAAGGAGGGGGAUGCCUAAGGCUAGGCUUGCGACUAGAGUGAAGUCGUAACAAGGUAGCCAUACUGGAAGGUGCUA